UACGGGGGGGGCAAGCGUUGUUCGGAAUUACUGGGCGUAAAGGGCUCGUAGGCGCCAACUAAGUCCGACGUGAAAUCCCCAGGCUUAACCUGGGAACUGCGUCGGAUACUGGUUGGCUUGAAUCCGGGAGAGGGAUGCGGAAUUCCAGGUGUAGCGGUGAAAUGCGUAGAUAUCUGGAGGAACACCGAUGGCGAAGGCAGCCUUCUGGGCCAACACUGACGCUCAUGCACGAAAGCGUGGGGAGCAAACAGG
rnacentral:rRNA from 1 species